CUUCGUUGUGCUUCAUAACUGCAGGCGCUACAAACGAUUUCGUCAUGACGUUGUCUUUCAUUUCGCGGUGUAUGUGCGGCGUUCACGAUCACGGUCGCUUACGCCGAUUUUCGGCGAUGCAGGUGUGACUGCGGGUUUUGCGGGCCAAUGCCAACGGCCCUUGAACAAGUGUGCUGCCGCGACAUACAGGAAGUUGUGCGCGAAAGCCCGGACGGCUGCAUCACUACGCACGAGGAGUUCCGAAGCGUGUGCCUGAGCUCCGCGGUGCUGCGCGCUCUGUAUUGGGAGCUGCAGGAAAACGGCGUCGGGGUUGAAGGAGAAGUGCACAGGGAGCAAGUAGGCCCUCUGAUAGUUGUAGAAGGUGCGCUCCGUGAUG
rnacentral:misc_RNA from 1 species